rnacentral:rRNA from 1 species
AGCGAACGCUGGCGGCAGGCCUAACACAUGCAAGUCGAGCGCCCCGCAAGGGGGAGCGGCAGACGGGAGAGUAACACGUGGGAACGUACCCUUCGGUUCGGAACAACCCAGGGAAACUUGGGCUAAUACCGGAUACGUCCGAAAGGAGAAAGAUUUAUCGCCGAGGGAUCGGCCCGCGUCUGAUUAGCUAGUUGGUGGGGUAACGGCCCACCAAGGCGACGAUCAGUAGCUGGUCUGAGAGGAUGANCAGCCUCACUGGGACUGAGACACGGCCCAGACUCCUACGGGAGGCAGCAGUGGGGAAUAUUGGACAAUGGGCGCAAGCCUGAUCCAGCCAUGCCGCGUGGGUGAUGAAGGCCCUAGGGUUGUAAAGCCCUUUCGGC